rnacentral:rRNA from 1 species
UACGUAGGGGGCUAGCGUUGUCCGGAUUUAUUGGGCGUAAAGAGCGUGUAGGCGGCCAGGUAGGUCUGGUGUGAAAACUCGAGGCUUAACCUCGAGAUGUCAUCGGAAACCAUCUGGCUAGAGUCCGGAAGAGGAGAGUGGAAUUCCUGGUGUAGCGGUGAAAUGCGCAGAUAUCAGGAAGAACACCCGUGGCUAAGGCGGCUCUCUAGUACGGUACUGACGCUGAGACGCGAAAGCGUGGGGAGCGAACAGG